rnacentral:rRNA from 1 species
UCCGCCCGAGUACUACGAGCAUAGCUUAAAACUCAAAGGACUUGGCGGUGUCUCCGACCCAUCUAGAGGAGCCUGUUCUAGAACCGAUACCCCCCGUUUAACCUCACCACCCCUUGUUUUUAUCCGCCUAUAUACCGCCGUCGUCAGCUCACCCUGUGAAGGAAUAACAGUAAGCAGAAUGGGCCCUACCCCAGAACGUCAGGCCGAGGUGUAGCGUAUGAGGUGGGAAGAAAUGGGCUACAUUUUCUAUAUUAGACCAUACGAACGGUGCCUUGAAAUACGCGCCUGAAGGAGGAUUUAGUAGUAAAAAGCAAG